rnacentral:lncRNA from 1 species
ACCACCAAAUUGCCGAUUUUUUUUCAUUUUUCCCUUUUUUUAAAAAAAUACACAAACUUUGCUUACCCACACAAUUACACUCCAAAUUUCCGAUUGCACUUAACAAUCGUCGAUCUCCACAACACCCUCCUCGGUUACCUCUCCCACUCGCCGACUCAAAUUAGGAGUUCCCUUGCACAUGAUCAACCCUAAUCGUUCGUGACAACGGAGGGCUGAAUCGACUGCUGGCUCACCACGGAGGACUCGCGAUUGGAGCAGCAGCGCUCGCGAUUCGCUGAUGCAGAAUCGCAAGCUAGUCUGCAGCUCACGCGGAAUCACGUCUGGAGCUCACAUCAGCGGCUGUUAGAGGAAAAGUGUUGCAGAUCUGGAACUCUAUCGCUCAUGCGGAUCUAAGUCGGAGGAAAAAGGACUCGCUCACACUCUCUCGCUCGAGGAAAG